rnacentral:rRNA from 1 species
UACGUAGGGUGCGAGCGUUAAUCGGAAUUACUGGGCGUAAAGCGUGCGCAGGCGGUUUUUUAAGCCGGAUGUGAAAUCCCCGGGCUUAACCUGGGAAUGGCAUUCGGGACUGCAAGGCUGGAGUGCGGCAGAGGAGACUGGAAUUCCUGGUGUAGCAGUGAAAUGCGUAGAUAUCAGGAGGAACACCGAUGGCGAAGGCAGGUCUCUGGGCUGACACUGACGCUCAUGCACGAAAGCGUGGGGAGCAAACAGG